rnacentral:rRNA from 1 species
AUUGAACGCUGGCGGCAUGCCUUACACAUGCAAGUCGAACGGUAACAGGUCUUCGGAUGCUGACGAGUGGCGAACGGGUGAGUAAUACAUCGGAACGUGCCUAGUAGUGGGGGAUAACUACUCGAAAGAGUGGCUAAUACCGCAUGAGAUCUACGGAUGAAAGCAGGGGAGCGCAAGCCCUUGUGCUACUAGAGCGGCAGAUGGCAGAUUAGGUAGUUGGUGGGAUAAAAGCUUACCAAGCCGACGAUCUGUAGCUGGUCUGAGAGGACGAUCAGCCACACUGGGACUGAGACACGGCCCAGACUCCUACGGGAGGCAGCAGUGGGGAAUUUUGGACAAUGGGCGCAAGCCUGAUCCAGCAAUGCCGCGUGCAGGAUGAAGGCCUUCGGGUUGUAAACUGCUUUUGUACGGAAUGAAAAGCCCUUUUUUCAUACCCUGGGGUCAUGACGGUACCGUAAGAAUAAGCACCGGCUAACUACGUGCCAGCCGCCGCGGUAA